rnacentral:rRNA from 1 species
CGAGAUGGGGAUAGCUACUAGAAAUAGUAGAUAAUACCGAAUACGACCGUAGUUGUUAGAGGACUACGAGGAAAGGAGCUAAGGCUCCGCUGAAAGAUUGGCCCGCGGCCCAUUAGCUAGUUGGUAGGGUAAGGCCUACCAAGGCAAUGAUGGGUAUCCGGCCUGAGAGGGUGAUCGGACACAUUGGGACUGAGAUACGGCCCAGACUCCUACGGGAGGCAGCAGCUAAGAAUAUUCCGCAAUGGGGGAAACCCUGACGGAGCGACGCCGCGUGGAUGAUGAAGGCCGGAAGGUUGUAAAGUCCUUUUGGGCGCAAAGAAUAAGUACGCGAGGAAAUGCGCGUGCGGUGACGGUAGCGCCUGAAUAAGCAACGGCUAAUUACGUG